rnacentral:misc_RNA from 1 species
UCUUUAUAGAAUUAAAAUGUUACUGAAUCAUUUAUUUGCAUUUUAACCAUCUGAGAUAAAGCCUCAAAGCAUUUGCUUUGCAAUUUGGCCAAUAAAUGAUUGGUUAGGGCAGAAAAAUCUUGGAAGGCAACGAAUAUGAAUAUGAAUAUGAGUACGAAUAUGAGUAUGGAUACGAACUUGAGUACAUAUUUGGGCACUUCGGAUGCGACUGCAUUGCCCUAUCCUGGAAUGGACGACUAUGGAUGCCCUCACAUGAAUUGUACGGCAAUGGAGUUUGUUCAGUUCGUACUCGGCCCACAAACCCUGCCGCUGCAUAAGGCCUUAUUGAUAAGCAUAAUUUUUAGUGGCAUAUUCAUAACUGGCGUACUGGGAAACGUCCUGGUCUGCAUGGUAAUAAUUCGGCAUGCGGCAAUGCACACGGCAACGAAUUAUUACCUGUUCAGUUUGGCCGUGUCCGAUUUGCUGUACUUACUUUUAGGAUUGCCGGCGGAGGUAUUCCUAUACUGGCAUCAGUAUCCAUAUUUAUUUGGUCUGCCGUUUUGCAAGUUGCGAGCAUUUGUGUCGGAAGCGUGCACAUAUGUAUCGGUGUUCACAAUUGUUGCCUUCUCGAUGGAACGAUUUCUGGCCAUAUGCCAUCCCCUGCACGUGUGUGCAAUGUCCGGCUUUCAGCGGGCACUGAGGAUCAUAACGGCCCUUUGGAUUAUGGAUCUCGUAUACUGGAAUCCGCAUUCUGUUCAAUCGAAUUGGAGUUUCCCGAAGAAUUCCCCUUGUUCGAAGUCUCCUUUUGCAUAUUUUUCAUUAUACCCAUGAUACUCAUUAUAUUGUUAUAUGGUCGCAUGGGCGCUCAGAUUCGUUCAAGAGCCACCGACAAAUUGGGAGUUCAGCAGGGUUCCAGGAAUCGCGAAUCGCGUAGCUCGCAGAAGAAAAAGCGAGCUGUUAUACGAAUGUUGG